AAAUGUGAUCCAAGACGUGUCUGGAGGAGAGGUGCCUUCGACAGUCUGCUGGGCUGCUGGCUAGCAAUGCUGUGGGAGACCUGUGAGCCAGCUGCCCCAGGAAUUAGUGAGUGAGUCUGUCCAAUUUUGAUGGGAGGUGUUAGGAAGCCAAUGGAGGCUGGCU
rnacentral:lncRNA from 12 species